rnacentral:miRNA from 14 species
AGAGGCAGGUAGAUCUCUGUGAGUUCAAGGCCAGCCUGCUCUACAGGGUGAGUUCCAGGACAGCCAGGAGUAUAAGAGAAACCCUGUCUCAAAAA